ACCUGGACGCGAACCCGUGGUUUCUGUCUUGGUGUUCGGUGCUGUUUCAAUCCUGUAGCUGAUCGGGGGAUUAGAGAGUUUCUCAGAUGCCAUGAGCGGUAGGAUUCCUCCUCCAUGUCUUUCUGCCAUUAUGUUUCUGCCUUGGAGCCAGGGGAAAAUGGACUGCAACCUCUGAAAUGGAUAAUGUCUGGAGUAGACCAAGUGUCCAGGAACAUCAGCCUAGCUCUUCCCUGAAGAUUGCCCCCACCUCUAACCCUGCAUAAGUCACUUCCCCAAAACUUGGGGUCUUUGCAUGUGGAAGCCGAGAUGUGCCAGAACAUAGUUGGAGCCAGUGUGGAUGCAUG